CGCUACUUGGCCAAUUCAUUAUAUUAAUAACCAUGAAUUAUGCACACAUGUAUCUAUGCUUAUUCAUUACUAUAGCCACUAAAUUUAAAUAACUAAUACCAAUUAAAAUAUAUAUAUACAUAUAGUAAUUAUUUUACUUCAAUAUUAAACCAAGAUUAGUAAACCAUUCUAAAAUAUAAACAUAUCAUAUAUCACCUAAGCCUAAAUAAAUCCUAUUCACAUUAGAAUAUAGCCA
rnacentral:lncRNA from 1 species